rnacentral:tRNA from 1 species
GUUAAUGUAGCUUAAAUAAAGCAAAGCACUGAAAAUGCUUAGAUGAGUAAUACUACUCCAUAAACA